rnacentral:rRNA from 1 species
GACGAACGCUGGCGGCGUGCUUAACACAUGCAAGUCGAACGCUGAACCCGCUUCGGUGGGGGAUGAGUGGCGAACGGGUGCGUAACACGUGGGCAACCUGCCCCCGGCUCUGGGAUAACUCCAAGAAAUUGGGGCUAAUACCGGAUGUGACCGCUGGCCGCAUGGUCUGGUGGUGGAAAGGGUUUCCGGCUGGGGUUGGGCCCGCGGGCUAUCAGCUUGUUGGUGGGGUAGUGGCCUACCAAGGCGACGACGGGUAGCCGGCCUGAGAGGGUGACCGGCCACACUGGGACUGAGACACGGCCCAGACUCCUACGGGAGGCAGCAGUGGAGAAUAUUGCGCAAUGGGCGGAAGCCUGACGCAGCGACGCCGCGUGGGGGAUGACGGCCUUCGGGUUGUAAACCUCUUUCAGCAGGGACGAAGCGCAAGUGACGGUACCUGCAGAAGAAGCAACGGCCAACUACGUG